UCGUCUGCAGCUUUCUGACGCGUCAUCCAGGACUACCACGAGGCCUACGCUCCCCGACGGCCGAGAUGAGGGCCUUCAACAUGCUCAAGGUGAUACUCGCCCCUUCUAUCGAAGGAGUGGUUCUGCUCGAUCGCCUCUGUUUCCUCAAAGAACAGGAGGAUAUUGCGUUCUCCGCCCUGGUGCAGCUCUUUGAUCCCUUCUGUCCCCAAGAUGUUACGCCGUUGUUGGGGUGAAAGCGGCUGGAAUAGUCGAUUAGUCACGAAGAUCCAGUUACACUCUCAUCCAGCCAUAUCGCUUUACUUUUUAUAUUGUCCCUUUUUU